GUAAUGCGUAGGAAGCUGCCCGAUAGAGGGGGAUACCAGUUGGAAACGACUGUUAAUACCGCAUAAUGUCUACGGACCAAAGUGUGGGACCUUCGGGCCACAUGCUAUCGGAUGCGCCUACGUGGGAUUAGCUAGUUGGUGAGGUAAUGGCUCACCAAGGCGACGAUCUCUAGCUGGUUUGAGAGGAUGAUCAGCCACACUGGAACUGAGACACGGUCCAGACUCCUACGGGAGGCAGCAGUGGGGAAUAUUGGACAAUGGGCGCAAGCCUGAUCCAGCCAUGCCGCGUGUGUGAAGAAGGCCUUCGGGUUGUAAAGCACUUUCAGCGAGGAGGAAGGGUUAGUCGUUAAUAGCGGCUAAUUUUGACGUUACUCGCAGAAGAAGCACCGGCUAACUCUGUGCCAGCAGCCGCGGUAAUACAGAGGGUGCAAGCGUUAAUCGGAAUUACUGGGCGUAAAGCGCACGUAGGCGGUUUUUUAAGUCAGAUGUGAAAGCCCCGGGCUCAACCUGGGAAUUGCAUUUGAAACUGGGGAACUAGAGUGUGUGAGAGGGGGGUAGAAUUCCAAGUGUAGCGGUGAAAUGCGUAGAGAUUUGGAGGAAUACCAGUGGCGAAGACGGCCCCCUGGCACAACACUGACGCUCAGGUG
rnacentral:rRNA from 1 species